GCGGAGGGAUCAUUACCGAGUUUACAACUCCCAAACCCCUGUGAACAUACCACUUGUUGCCUCGGCGGAUCAGCCCGCUCCCGGUAAAACGGGACGGCCCGCCAGAGGACCCCUAAACUCUGUUUCUAUAUGUAACUUCUGAGUAAAACCAUAAAUAAAUCAAAACUUUCAACAACGGAUCUCUUGGUUCUGGCAUCGAUGAAGAACGCAGCAAAAUGCGAUAAGUAAUGUGAAUUGCAGAAUUCAGUGAAUCAUCGAAUCUUUGAACGCACAUUGCGCCCGCCAGUAUUCUGGCGGGCAUGCCUGUUCGAGCGUCAUUUCAACCCUCAAGCACAGCUUGGUGUUGGGACUCGCGUUAAUUCGCGUUCCUCAAAUUGAUUGGCGGUCACGUCGAGCUUCCAUAGCGUAGUAGUAAAACCCUCGUUACUGGUAAUCGUCGCGGCCACGCCGUUAAACCCCCAACUUCUGAAUGUUGACCUCGGAUCAGGUAGGAAUACCCGCUGAACUUAAGCAUA
rnacentral:rRNA from 1 species